rnacentral:lncRNA from 1 species
AUGGAAAUUGGGCCCAUAUUUGGCGAAGACAAAUUAGGUUGGAACUUGGGAAGUGAAUCGUUCUCCUGGAGUUUUGCCUUCUGCUACUCUCAUAGUUCGAUGGCGGAAUCAGAGAUUCCAAGUAUAACGUCUCUCUUUCUAUUCUAAAUCUAAACCUUAUGUUCCUCUGCGAUUGUGUAAAGGUUCUGGUAAGUUGAUUGCUUGGAAAAAGGGUGCAAUCUGUUCAUUCAGUUUUAUUGUUUAAAGAAAGGAAGCACUUAGUUUAAUAUGGAACUUUGAGAAUAAGUCAGAUGAGACUACAAGAGCUACUAGGGACGUGAAUGCGCAAAGAAACAACCCAACUAUAACAUGAACCUUUUUUAUUGGUACAUUUAUCGUUUUACCCUUUUACUAUAGGUGUUGUUUAUAUUUAGUAUGUUAAUCCCACCGUCUCACAUAUGAGUUUACAUUUGAUCUUAUUUUUAAAUGUCAAAUGGUGUUUCAGUAGUCAUUUUAAAGCCUAGAUAAAAGAUAUCCUGGUGCUUCAAUAGUCGUUUUAAAGCCUA